rnacentral:lncRNA from 1 species
CAAAUAUGGUUUGAACCAAAGAAUAAUAUGGUUUGACUCCAAAAAGGUAUGAAAUCUAAACCAGAGAGUAAAACUGACAUUAACUAAUAUGUGGGGAGCCUAAGGCAUGUAAUCACUAUAUGGAAUGACCGAAAAAAAAAGGGAAUUAAAUGUUUGGCAUCAAGGAAAAUAUCUCUCGGUUCAAAGGCAGACACUAGAUGGAGCUCAAAGAAAUAAU